rnacentral:rRNA from 1 species
UAAGGUCACGGCUAGACGAGCCGUUUAUCAUUACGAUAGGUGUCAAGUGGAAGUGCAGUGAUGUAUGCAGCUGAGGCAUCCUAACAGACCGAGAGAUUUGAAC